AUGGCGCCCGCCGACGAAAAUGCUGCCGGCAGCCACAAAAUUGCCGGCCGCAACGACAACAAAAAGGCUGCGAUGACCGCGGAGUUCCAGCUGAAGAAGUACCUGCUGCUGCUGGCCACCCUGGUGGCGACGGUGACCUACGUGGCGGGGCUCAACCUGCCGGGGGGUUCCUGGACGGAGGACGCUCCCGGCGGGCAGGUGGCCGGCGAGUCAAUUCUCCGGGAGACCUACUACUACCGCUACAUCGUCUUCUACUACUGCAACGCCGUCUCCUUCGCCGCGUCGCUCGUGGUCAGCCUCCUCCUCCUCGUGCUGCAGGAGGAGGGCGGCCCCUGGCACGGCUCGCUCCGGGUGAUCAUGGUGAUCGACCUGUUCGGCCUGAUGGGGGCCUACGCCGCUGGGAGCAGCCGCGACAAAUUCACCACCGUCUGCGCCGCCGUGAUGGUGGCUGGCCUCACCGCCUACGUCACUGUCGCCUUCCUCUGCUACGUCGUCUUCCUCUUCUGCUACAAAAAAGAAGAGAGUCAACAUCAAGCGACGGCCAACAAAAACGAAGAGAGUCAAGAAAAAGAGAAGGCGCGCCUGGCCGCCUACAAAAAAGAUCAAGUCGCAGAGCACGAGAUCCUGCUGGUGCUCGCCAUCUUCGUGACGACCGUCGCAUACGUGGCCGGGAUGAACCCACCUGGAGGCUUCUGGCGGAGCACCGAAGAGGGCCACCACACCGGCGGCGAUCCGAUUCUGCAGGGAGGCCACUCCGGCCGCUACAAGUCCUUCUUCUUCUUCAACACCACCGCCUUUGUCGCGUCCCUACUCGCCAUCAUGCUCAUCCUCGACUACAAGAAGCUCAACAUCACCAUCUGGGGCAAAUUUGACACAGGGCGCAGCGGGCUCUAUCUAUCCCUCGUCAUGGCGAUCGUCGGCCUUGGGGGCGCCUACGCCGCUGGGAGCUGCAGGGACCCUGAGAGCACCGCCUAUGUUGUGUCCUUAGGGGCAGCUGUUCUGGUCUACCUGACUCUUACAAAAGCCUUCUCUAAUUCUAGACCACGAGGCAACAAGGGAAAGAAUGACGGAAAAGAAGAACUCAACAAGGCAAAGAAUGACGGAAAAGAAGAAAUCAACAAUGCAAAGAACGACGGAAAAGAAGAAGCCGACAAGGCAAAGAAUGGCGGAGAAGAAGAGGCAGAGAAUGUCAGAAAAGAACAAGUCAACAAGGCUCGCGAGUUUAUUCAGUUGCUUGCUGUACUUGCGUCGACCAUCACUUAUCAAGCUGGACUUGAUCCACCAGGAGGCCUCUGGCUGGAGAGUGGGGAAGGACAUACCGUUGGAGACUCGAUACUCCUCACCACACACCCAAUACGGUACAAGGCCUUCUUCUAUUCCAACUCGGUGGCCUUCGUGGCGUCCUUGGUCAUCAUCGUCAUGCUGCAGAGCGAGGCGCUAAUUAGGCACCACAUACUGGAGGCUGCCAUGAUACUAGACCUGUUCAGCCUCAUGGGCGCAUACGCCGCGGGGAGCUGCCGAGACACGAGCACCUCCGUCUACAUCGUGGCCAUUGCCGGCGCCGUCCUGAUCUACGUGGUGAUCCACAUCGUCUUCUUCACGCUCGACCAUAGAGAUAUGAAGGACGAUGUGUUGGACAAGUACCGUGAGGUGUUGCUACUCCUGGCGAUCUUGGCCGCGAGCAUCACCUACCAAGCCGGGCUGACCCCGCCGGGCGGCUUCUGGGAGAUGGAUGACGAGCAGCAUGGGCACCACGCCGGCUUCUCGGUCCUCCAGGACAAGUACCACCGCCGUUACAAGGCCUUCUUCUACUGCAACGCGGCGAGCUUCAUGGCAUCCGUGGCUCUCAUCAUCCUCCUCGUGAAUCCCACCCUGUACAGGCCGGGCAUACGGUGCUACGCCCUCUUCGUGUGCAUGGUGGGGGGCAUGUUCGGCCUCAUGGGUGCCUACGCUGCGGGGAGCUCCCUGCACCUCCGAGCCUCCAUCAUCGUCUUGGUAUUGGUUGCUAUGGUGUUUGGUUUUGUAGUCUUUCUGGCACUGAGAGACUCCUACAACCGGAAGCAAAAGCAACCUGAACAAGGAGUUCAUGUGGCCGACGAUGCGGCCAAGGACAAGCAACCUGCACAAGGAGUGCAAGGAGAUCCUGCGGCCGGCGAUGUGGCCAAGGACCAAAAGAAACCUGCACCUGUGGCUGACAACAAGGCCAUAUACCUGAUGCUGAUAGGGAUACUGGCUGCCAGUGUGACCUACCUGACCGGACUGAAACCGCCCGGCGGCCUGUGGAGGGACGACGACCAUGGGCAUUCCGCUGGCAGCCCGAUCCUGUACGACAUGGACAGGCGGCGGUACAUGGUCUUCUUCUACAGCAACUCCACCUCGUUCAUGGCUUCCAUCAUCGUCAUCGUCGUCCUGCUGAGGCGGCUUCUGCAGAACAACAAAGGUCCGAUUCAUAUUUCAUUGGACACGGUGAUGGUACUGGACAUGCUCGCCCUCCUGGUAGCCUACGCCUCAGGCAGUGCACGGAAGUGGGGCACAUCUAGGAACGUCAUCCUGCUGCUCCUCCCCAUAGUGAUCUUCCUAGGGCUUCUAUUCCGCUGCAAGAAUAACGACCGUGACAAGCGAGGAGCCACUAAAACUCCGAACCCUGAUGAUCACCGCUCCACUCUCGCUACACCACACUGA
rnacentral:rRNA from 1 species